UAAAGUAUUCAUUUAUAAAUAUUGUUGUUUUUUAGUUGUAAAUAAAAAUAAUAUAACUAGAAAUAAUAAUGUCUGGUGCCGGUAGAAAAAUAGAUGCAGUUUUGAAAACAGUUUGAAGAAAACUUGCAAAGUUUGGUAAAAAGGAACAAAUAUCAACCAGGCAACUGAAGAACCACAAGCUAGUCAAUGUUCACAUAAGAGAACUGAAUCUAGUCAAUCUGCUGUAUGCCCAUGCUGUUACAAUUUUUCAACAGAAUGAGACUUCAGAAAUCUCACGUUUAUUCCUACAUCAAAUUCAAGCAAAAACAUUUAUAUAUUGGACAACGGAUUUAACACUAGAAAACUUUUUUUAUAAUUGAUGACAUGUUUUUAUAAACAUAGACA